rnacentral:tRNA from 1 species
GCCGGGGUGGCUGAGCGGUUUAAGCGGUCGGCUGCAGACCGACUACAUACCGGUUCAAAUCCGGUCCCCGGCU